CUAGACAAUAAAGCAAGUCUUAAUCGAUAUUAUGAAUGUAUCAACGACAUAAAAGAUAAAAUUAUAUUUUUUGAAUUAGAUAACUAAUGUCAUUACAACUAAUCCUAUUGAAUGCCUAUAAUAAUAAAAUAAUAGAUACAAAAAGUCCACAAACAAUUUCCGCAGCUCUUCAACGUAUUGAAAUAUUCCAAAUGCUAAAUUUUUGGACAUCAUUAGUAUAUGACCUGAAAUAAUAAUAGAAGUAUGUUAAAAUAUGAAAUCAAGUGACAACAACAACAAUAACAACCGAGUAUAAUCCCACAAAUGAGGUCUGUGGAGGGUAGUGUGUACGCAGACCUUACCCCUACCCUGGGUAGAGAAACUGUUUCACAUAAAUCUUCGGCACAAGAAGAUGAAAGGCGACAAUAGAAUAAUAACAAUAACACAACCAGGAAGAUAGUACCACCGAGCUAAGAAUCAGAAAAUAUAUAUGGCAAAGCAAUAUCCCACUGACACGGCAUAUAAUACGAAAAAGUAUCACAGCCAUGUCAAUUUAACUUGCCCAUAUGAUUUAUUUGAGGUCGAAUGACGACUAGAUUGAGAAGGCAUACUGGACAAAGAAAAUGUACUUAUCACUACGUGCAAGAGCAUGUGAAUCUGAUGCAGCUAAUAAGAAAUCGCCAUCAACAUGUAGAUAAUAAAAUAGAUAAACUCACUGCUAGUUCAGUAUCGAGAAAAAAAUAACAGAACUUAGCUUCUGUUUGAGGCCACACCACAUUUGUACUCAUAAGCUCCAGAUAUAACCCAAAAAAAUCCGUCACGUAAAUUUCCAUUUAGUUCCAACAAUGAACUUUUAAAAACUGAAUUGCUCUGUUAAAUUCAACUCUCUACACUCCUCUUCUAUAAAUAACCUAUCGUUCUCCAUUUUCCAAAAGCAAUCGUCCAAAAUGCGCAGAUUUAUUUCAAGGGGUAUCGUUGUUCCUCUAGUCAUAACCAACCUUUUCAAUUCUUCUUUUCGAUGACACACAUAAAACCAUAGAUGUAUCAGACAACUCAAUUUUAUCACUAUAGUUAAAGAUCACCUUAGCACAAGCUUAAUCAUGUAAAUCAGCUGAUCACUAGAAGCAUUUGGGAAAAUCGAGCAGAACAAUAGCAGAUAAGCAUUUAAAAAUAAUAGAGAUAACUAUUUGACAACAGAAAUUGAGAUGCAAAACAAACACUAAGGUACAACCAAGUUUAAUACUGAAAGUUGUAACAAAUCUAAUUAUUCUAGAUAAUAAAAUUAUCUAGCAUUUCUCUUAGUCAAAUUUAGAGAGUAUGGAGCCAUACCUAGAAUAGAAUAACAACAACAUAAUAUCCAGUAAUAUCCCACACCGUGGGGUCUGGGGAGGGUAGUGUAUACGCAGACCUUACCUCUACCUUGUGAGGAUAGAGAGGCUAUUUCCAAUAGACCCUCGGCUUAGGAAAGCAUAAGCAUCACAUUAAUGAAAAUAUAGACGAGAAGGGACAGUACCAAGAAGCCAUAUAAAAGCAGAAUAAAAAUAACCAGAUAGUAAGGUGAUCAACAAUGAAAGAAAUAUCAGUUAGUCAUGUUAAUUUACAUUUUCUUUUCAACUGAUUAACGACAUCCUUAUCUGAUCCCCAAAAGUGUUUAUCCACCCAAAGAGAGACAUGGCAUUACAGAAAGUAGAAUAAAGAACCUACUUACGAUUCAAAGAACUUCAACCAAACAUAUGUCGGAAUUUCCAGUUGAGGAACAUGAAAUUCUUAAGAUGAUAAUAAAAAAUAUUGACAGAACUAGGAAUAGAGCUGCUAGUAUAGAAAACAAAGAAUUAAAACGGUUUCACUGUUGUGCUCAUCUAAAUAGUGCCCUUGGAAUAUUUGAUUAAAGAAAUAUGGUGAAAUGCAAUGAAGCAACAUCAAAGUGACAACUUAUGCUCUCCUCCCUAUAGUACCACCAACACAGAAAUAACAAUCUUCCAAUCUCGUUCCUAAACUACUGCCAAAGCUUUGAACUAUAUAAAAGCCAUUCAUACUCUUAAGUAGAAGCAAGAAAAACUCCAACUUCAUAAACUUGAAGCAUAACAGACUGAAAGAGAUUUGAACCUAAUUACACAAAAGAAGAAUAUUAAUAAUUAGCCUAACUUCAACAGAGAACAGUUCUGGUAGGAAUCUUAGCCUUCUAAGGAAAGAAGGCAAAGGAAAGAGGAAAUUGGGAUAGAAAAAAGAGAGUUGAAAAGGAUAGCACAUGAAUACGCCCAAGCUCCUAAAUUUGAAAUCUGACAAUCAAAAGAUAAAAAGAAUUUAAGGGUCGGACAGUGUUAUAAAUAGCGCUCGCCUCAGCGCUAAUAGUGUGAGGCGAGGCGAGGCGAGGCAAUGUCGCAACAUGGCAACUGUUGCGUUGCGUUUCAAAAUAGCGGUUGCUUCAGGGUAUGUUGCGUGAGGCGACACUGUAGCGAGUAGCAACUAUAGCGUCGCUAUUUAAAAAAAGAAGAAGAGAAAGGCAGAAGACUUUAGUCGGGAAAUUAGGGCUUCGAUCCUUUUCACCUGCGAACAAAAAAACUUCAGAGAUUAGGACUUUUCACCUGUGAACAAACCAACGGUCUUCUUCAGUCUUCUUCUUCAUCUUCUUCAAGCUUCAACAGCGAAAAAAGUCAAACAACAGAGGUAUGCUUCUUCUUUCUUCUUUUUUCUUUCUUCUCUUCUUCUUUCUAUUUUUUUCUUCUGUUUUUUGUCUACAGAAACAGAGCCAAAUAGGUUCUGUAUUUGUGCUUCUUUCUUCUUCUUUCUAUUUUUUUUCUUCUGUUUUUUGUCGACAGAAACAGAGCCAAAUAGGUUAUGUAUUUGUGCUUUUUUUGUCGAGCAAAAAUUGAGUCUUUUCUUCUUCUCUUAUAUUUUUUUUUUUUGCUCUGUUUUGUCUUCUUCUUUAUU
rnacentral:lncRNA from 1 species